GCCGUCUCCCAGGGGUUUGGGGGCACUGUCCCCUUGUGGGGUGGAGGCGUUGUUCCCCAGAGGUCUGGGGGCACCGGCCCACUUGCGGGCGGGGUGGGGGCGCUGUCCCCAGCCUGGGGCAGCCCUCCCGCUGAGCUAACCGGGCAGCCGCCCUGCGGUCAUUAACCUGUGGAGGGUUCCUCCGGUGUCCUGCGGGGAGGGGGAGGGGGAGGGGGUGAGAGGGAAAGGAGGCUGACGGCUGACCGUGCUUAUAGCUUCCCUCCUCUUUGUGAUUACACAAUUUUUAGUAAGUUCUGGAACUACGUCUGAGUGCAGUUAUCAAGUCUGUUGCCGACUGUCUCGGACACUUGCUGAAAACGCGACUCCCCUGGGUAUGGAAAGGCUCCCGCAAAACUUCCUAGGAAGGCAGCGGCCCCCAGCCUUUGAACACCCACCUGCUCUGCGGGCAGCAAGUGCUGCCAGGACACCUCAGCUCUGGUCCCGAGGCUGGGCCUCGUCUCUUGGGGGGAGCCUGCGGGAGCCUGCGCAUGUGAUGUCCCCUCACCGGAGAGGCCCUCCUCUGAGAUCUCCCAGCUUUAAGCUGAGCAGCCAGCAGAGCGGGAGGCUGGAAGCCGGUUGCACAGACCUCUGCAAACACAAGAGUAGGACUAAAAUGGCUCUGACCCUGUUCCCAGGCUGCUCAUGCACGGUGACCAGAUCCUCCACUGUCCCCACCGGGUCUAGCUGGGGCACGGCUGGGAGCGAACAGAGGCGCUAUUAAUAAUUACGCACAGCGUACGGCCACCGUCCGUGGCCCGCGGCAGAGCUCCUAAAGGAACUGCUGUGGGGCCCGGCUCUCCAGACCAGAACCUCUGCUCUCUCCCCGAACGAAGCAGGCCUCUCGACACCUAGCUUCUAAAAACUGGAGCUCGUAUUUGGGGAGUGCUUACCAGGCCCCUCGACACAGGAAGCUGGGCCAGAGCGGAAAGCCCGUGGCCCGGGGCCACACGCCGCUCUCUGACCAUGGGGUGUCCUGCCUCUCCAGUCAGGAUGGAAACCUCCAGGGGAUAGAGGGACGCGGCUCGAGGCCAGAGGCCAGCACGUAACUGUCAGCGUUGACCUGGCGUUCCCGCAAGUCAGAGCGCAUGGUAGGUUGAUGGAAGCCAAGGCACAGAAAGCAAGCCGCCGAUGUCUUGCCUCAAAAUGCUUCUAACAGGCCGCCUAACGGGCGGGUGGGCCUUGCCAGCAGUGAAGAGGGCCAGUCGCUGCGGAGAGGCCUCUCCGGCGUCCUCCUAAGGGAGGGCUGGAAAAGAACGGACCAGAGCCGUCCUGCGUCCUGGCUUGUCUGCACGCCGUGAGCGCAUGCGAGGGAAGCACACGCGAGGGAAGCACACGCUUACUUAUGCCCCAGUUGAAUCCCGCCGUCAUGUGGAGCUGCGGCCCGCUCAACGGCACGGGCGGCGCGGAGGACCAGCCGCUGUGCCAGCACCUGCAUCUGGUCCUGUCCGUCUUCUCCCUGCUCUACCUGGUGGCCGGCGUCCCCGUCGGCCUGGGCUACAACGCCCUGCUCGUCCUGGUCAACCUGCACGACCAGAGCAGCAUGACCAUGCCCGACGUCUACUUCGUCAACAUGGCCGUGGCGGGCCUGGUGCUCAGCGCCCUGGCGCCCGUGCACCUGCUGGGCCCCACCGCCUCCGGGUGGGCCCUGUGGGGCUUCGGCAGCGAGGCCCACGUCACGCUGCUGGUGCUGUUCAACGUCUCCUCCCUGGUGACCAUGUACUCCACGGCCCUGCUCAGCCUCGACUGCUACAUCGAGCGGGCGCUGCCGCGCACCUACAUGUCCAGCGUCUACAACACGCGACACGUGUGCGGCUUCGUCUGGGGCGGGGCCCUGCUCACCAGCUUCUCCUCCCUGCUCUUCUACGUCUGCAGCCACGUGGCCGCCAGGAUCGUCGAGUGCUCCAAGAUGCGGGACGCGCAGGCCGCGGACGCCAUCAUGGUGUUCAUCGGCUACGUGGUCCCCGCCCUGGCCGUGUUCUACGCGCUGGCGCUCAUCUCGAGGAUCCGGAAGGCGGACACGCCGCUCGACCAGGACGCGGGGAGGCCGGACCCCUCGGUGCACAGGCUCCUGGUGGCCACCGUGUGCACGCAGUUCGGGCUCUGGACGCCUCACUACCUGACCCUCCUGGGGCACACGCUGCUGGCCUUGCGGGGGAAGCCCGUUGACAGGCACCACCUGGGGAUCCUGCUCUUCGCCAAGGACGUGGCGAGAUUCCUGGCCUUCUCCAGCAGCUCCGUGGUGCCGCUCCUUUACCGCUACAUCAACAGAAACUUCCCCAGCAAACUCCGGCGGCUGAUAAAGAAAAUGCACUGCGGGCGCCAGAGCUGCUCCCCGGACCAAGCAGGGGUACAGCAGGUGAUGGCGUAGAGCCGGCGGCUGGGGUCACGGCCGCUCGCUGAGCGCGGGUCCUGGGGCCGCCACCAGUGCCCCGGUGGGGUCAUCGGACGGGCAGUCAACGGCGUACUUCCCGGAGGCACGGUCCGGGCCCCCUCCUGGGAGACAGGCGACCGACACUUGACCUGGAUGCACAGCACUUUGUCACUGCCCGCUCUGUCACGCUCUUCCCCAGGACGUCACUGAGGCCGGGACCCAGAACAGCACGAGGCGUGUUCUCUCCAAGUUUUCUGCUUCCAGACAGGCCGCUCUUAGGCCAAGGCCACGCGGUCCAAGGCGGGAGGGGCCUGGCGUGAAAAACAGCUGCCUGCCCACCUGCUUCGGGCGGACGCACUGCUCGGUCGUGCGGGGCCACACCCGCAAUAGCGUCCUCAGCCUGGCCGCCUCCACCCUGGGUUUCUGAACGAAGUCAGGAGAAUCCAAAUCCAGUGUUUAUAUUCUGCGCCGGCAAAAUACCCGAUUCCGUCUCUUGCGCUUAUAAAAAGAUUCGAGAGAAGUCACCAAAGCCUGAAAGCGAAGGAAGCAACACGAAGGGCACUCCCGUUGGACGGACGGGCGGGCUCCUGCUACCGCAGGGUCGUGCUGGGUGGGGUGAGGCGGGGAGAGGCGCGUGCCGUGCCACGCACACAGGCAGCGUGCAAAUGCUUCAGAAGGACAGGGCCAGCAGUGUGGCUGGUCUUAGGCGGAGGGCCCUUAACUGGUACCCCUGCUGCCCUCCCCGGUGACCUCAGCUAACCGUCUUCAGUAGAAGCCAACUCCCCAAAGUGUGCACAAAACCCCACGCUAAUAGUAAACCGAAGAGAGGAAAGCGCGGUGAGGAUUUCCAACCUAACACAGAAGCUGGGAGGGACCGCCUGGGGAGUCACAGGCCUGCAAGGCGGAGCCCGGUCUGGCACGGGGGCAGAGCGUGGGGCCACCACUGCCACCUCACACCCGACAACAGCCUGCUUCGCCAGACGCGGCGCGUGCCUGGAUCCUUCCACGCCGCGUCCCAUAAACACCUGCUCUAAAACCGUGGCAGAAGCCCCCUGCUCUCCUCGACACCAUCCGCUCACCUGCACCCCGACGUCACGACGCACCACAGGCCUGCAGCCCCCCAACUGCACCUCUGAAACCCACAAAGCUCUAAAAACAGGAAGAUUUGUUUGUCAAGUUUGCGGCACAUUCCCUUGGUAGCAAACCUUGAGCUGAAGUGGUAGGAGAGCGCUUUUCUGAGGAAAGAGGAGCGUGAAUGUGAUUACGGGGCACUGGCCCGGCCCCACAGGGCCCCGUAACACGCAGCACACACAGCAUGUUAACUGCGUGCGCGCAAACGCAGAGAACAGGUGAACGUAGGUCGUUUGCCAAAAGCAGCCGGAAGCAUGCACACGCCUUAAGAUCUCAUUCGCGUGUCACCCUACGCUUUCCUGCGGGGUUACGGUGACAGGGAGCGGCUGGGGCUGGCAGCUUGGGAACUCCAACCCGCGUUUAGAGGUUGUACCGUUUGCCUCGAGUUCUACGUAAAUCACGAAGAAGAUCCUGCUGAAGAAAAACCCACACGUUUGAAGACUUAAGUCACUUGACACAAAUCACCCACCUUCGGAAUUCUCAAAAUGUGUAUUUCCAGGGGUGUAUGACGUGUGGCAGAAACCGGCACGGGACUUAGCCUGUUUCCCCUGGUGACACGGGGCCCGCCACUUUUCGUUACUCCUCUGCUGCAGUGGCACAGCAGCAGCGUGUACCUGCACGCAACCUCAGGCAGCGCGGGGCGCACCCCGAACCCCGUGAGGACAGCCCCCCAAGUCUGGCAAACGUUCUUUCCCGAGAACGGACGUUUGACAACUGCUGACGCGUCCCGAGGGCCGAGGACAGAACUGAGUGGCCCCAGCGGCUCCGUGUGGGAGGGCCUGUCCCCCCGGCGGGAGGGCCUCGUCCCCCCGGGCAAGAGGGGAGCGUGCCGUGCACACGGCGAGUAAAUCUGAGUAACGAACAGGGAGUCUCUGGGAAUGAAAGAAUCCGAAUUUACCCAUCUUACGUUAAUAAAGAACGCGAGGCGCAAAGAAUUUUACCAUUUGCCUCAUUCCGUACGCGUGUAACACUGAAGUCCCGGGGACAAGCAUUUGUUGAGUGGCUGUGACAUUCUCGCCCCUCCUCCCGGUAUUUGAAAACCGCUUCCCGGGAGGCUCUUGCGGGCCCGUGUGCCACUAACAUCACGUGAACCGAGGAAACGAUGCUACUGUCCGAAAUGCUGUGAAGUCGGAGCGCGGUACGUUUCUACGUUCCGGCAGGGAACACGGGACUCCGACCCGCUCUGCAGCUGGGAGCGCAGGCGUGUGUGCGGGGCGCCACCUAGUGGCCGCCGGCAGAGCUUCGCCCUGCAGGGCAGCUGGGCGCCGGCCACAGAACCCUGACCGCGCCUGCACAGGGUGCUUCUCGCAGGGUUUACAGCCCAUGUGGUCAGGGUCGGCGGGUCGUGCUCGGUGAUUUAUACCUUGGGGGCCUUCACCCCAAACCAGCCGCGGAGGAGCAGACACCCCGCCCCGCGCUCCCCAACAAUCGGACGAGGGAAACUCCGCCCUGCGGAUACCACGUGACUCAGGGAAUUCAGGGCACAUUGCGCUUUUCCAAAAACACGUGGUCAGCAGCAGUGGAGAGGAGCACUCGGACCACCCAGGCGCUGCUCCGCACACACACGCGUGUGCACACGCGUGUGCACACACACACUGGAGCCAGCAGAACCUGGCGCAGACAGGGACAGCAGCCAAGUCCGGCCUAGGACGCCGGACUUCUGCGCGGUUACGGCUGGGCGCACUAUGUUUCCAGGGACGGCAGCCCCACACAGAGAUUUCCGAUCGCCAGCUGAAGCCGUGGCAGGGAGCAUAGGUGAGAAAGAGACAGUUCAAAGAUUAUAAACGCUUUUAAAAGACGUUGCAGGGGCGCCUGGGUGGCUCUGUCGGUUAAGCAUCCGACUCCGACUCCAGACUUCAGCUCAGAUCACAAUCUCAUGGGUGGGAUCAAGCCCCACCUCGGGCUCUGUGCGGCCCCCACGGAGCCUGCUUGGGACUGUCUCUCUCUCCCUCUCUCUGCCCCUCCCCAGCUCACGCGUGUGCACCAAGUAAAUAAAUAAACUUAAAAAGAAACGCUGAAAAGGCUCUCUCUCUAAAGAGGCGGUGGUGAGUGGCAGGGGGCUGGAGGGGAAAGUGCUCCCGCCCGCGGCCUCCGGGCCUGCCCGUGAACGGCCAGCUGGAAGGCCCCACAAGGCCGGCCUCUGCUCCGCGGGGCUGCCCCUCCCGUGCAUAGUCUCAAAGCCUGCGGAGCGCCACUACAAAGGGACAGGGCUCCACGGAGCAGGGCCUGGGGCACCUUGACCUAGGAAGUGAGGACAAACGGAGAUGACCACGGCCACGCCCCCAGUGCCGACAGGACCCAGGCCCCGGCUGGAAGUGGUUCCUCCUGGCCAUGUUUGGGACAACUUGAGCAAACAAAAAGUGAAGAAUUAAAAGGGAAAAAAAAGCCCACAGAGACACUCAAAAAGGCAGGAAGCAGAGGGGAAAAGGAAGCAAAGGAGAAAACCAGCGCGUCUCCGACGCAGGAAUGGAAGGAUGGGCACCGCACAGGGAGGCUGUGGGCAAAGACGGCCAGGAGCGUCCGUGUGGUCCAAGCAGCACCUGCGGCCAACUUCUCAGCGAGGGGGGCCUGUGAGCAGGGUGCCCAGGCCCGUCGCCCCGCCAGAAGCACAUGCCCACCUGUACCCGGGGCAGGAGGGGCCUCAGUGCCCCUGAGAGGGGCCAUGGGGUCAGGCUGUGCGGCCACGGCUAAUGCCCGAAAGGCAAGGCCUGGCCUGCGGGCAGGCAAAGGACAGGCUGGCCAGCCCGCCGGGGGGGCCGGACGCCACACCGGGGAGCAUCAGCCCCAAGACGGAGAAGUGAGUAGCAGAGGCAGAACCCAAAAGACGGGCGGGAGGCAGUGCGGGGUGGAGUGGUCCUGCGGGGAGUCAGGGAUGAGGGGUGGACGGCUGGGCGGAGGCGUGGAGAGACGGGCCGGGUCCCCACAAAGGAAGGAGACCACGAAUUCCUGGUGGGUCCAGACGUCCUGAGCUUGGAUCCCAGUGGCCUUCCAAUCCCCGAACUGUCUCCCAGACUCCAUCACUGUUCCUUGGGCCACUGUCCCUGGACUCUAGGCUAGGGACUCCCAAAUUCCUGGCCUCCUUAUUUCCACAGGCAGCCCUGUAGGCGGUCCCCAGACUGAGGACGGAAGCCCUCAGGGGCACUGCCAGCCUCUCCGUGGCCCCCCCACUGCUCCCUGUGCAGAGCCCGGGCCACCUGGGAGUUCCCGUGACCCUCCUGCCGGGUCACACGUGGCUCAAUAUCCCUCUGACUUCCCAGGUCGUGCGGUCAUACGACUAGCGGCACCGGACAGGGGCCGGGCCUCGCGGGAGCUGAGACACGGGUGACAUACAGCGGCCUCUCCUAGAAGCCAGCAGCUGCCGCAGCGUGGCCCACGCUCCACGGCGACUUUCGGGCAGCGGGACCUGCGGGCCAGGAAGGAAAGGCCGUCGCGGUGAAUCCCUGCCCGGGUGCGCUGUCAGGACGGUGGACGGACACCUGCCCGAACAGCAGCGCAGACAGACAGGGCCUGCCCCUCGAGUCCCUCCACUCGCUGAGGGGGUCAAGGAGAUGCUUCUGUGACGACCCACGGUUCCACAGGGUGUGAACAACGCUCUUGCAAAGCGCCUGCUCCGGCAGGCCCCCUGCACGUCGCGCCCCGCCUGCCCCCCCCAGGAGCACGGAGCCCGCGCCCUCCCGGCCUCGGCCGACGCCCUUCACCUCCCCACCCGCAGCGCCCCAUCCGCAAGGGGAGAGCCGGGCAAACACGGCCGGCGGGCCGUGCACUGCGACGGGAAGGCAGGUCGGAGCCACAAUAACCCAGAUACGGUUUUCCUCUGAGAGAUGUGUCCACAAAGCCCAGGUCCCCCAGUGUCUGAAAAAGCCCCGUUACUUAGUGCUAUGGGUCUGCUGUGAGAUUCCGCGGGUGACGGAGGCCACAUGAGCCGGGAGACAAAUCAGGAAGCAGCCGGCAGGCCAGCCGCCUUGGCGACAGGCCAGCCCGAGACGCCAGCCCACACGUCUGCAGGGCUCGCUCCCAGGCCGCGGCCUGGGCUGGAAUGGAGGCGUCAGUCCGUAGUCGGCCCACCCUCUCCUCCGCUUGCUGACUGGACAGCGGCAGGACGACGACAGAGCAAAGGGGGACAGAGCCCGGGGAACGGGGAUCGGCUGCCGUCAGGCAGGAGGAAGCCGUCUGAGGGGGCGGCUGCAAGGUCCGCGCACCUAAGAAUAGCGGAGGCCAGCGGCGUUUGCCUCAAGUAAUCCAUUCCCAAACACGGAAAGGUGUCUUAGUGACAAGAGUCAAGACAAAGGGGUCGUUAGUGCUGGUAUUACGGGAAGCGGGAAGCGACAGAAGAGGUGACUUCCCCGGGCAGCCACUCAUCUUCGUCUCUAGGGACCUGCUUCCCUCCCCCGACACCCACGGCGGUGGACUCACGCGGCACGUGGCUCCUCCCACCGAGCGCCGCGUCUGUACAGCACCCCCCCCCCCCCCCCCCCCCGCCUCGGGCCAGUAUCCGAAUGCCACUCCUCACGGCCGAGAAACCACAUCCCCUCGUGCCACACACAUCGACACGCACGGGGCUGCCUCCGCCUGUGGCCACUGUCGGGGGGGGGGCUGCCGUGAACACGGGUGUGCCCGUUCUGCACGGGGGAAGGCCACCUGUGGAGGCCGCGCGGGACGGCGUGGUGACGUCCGCAACCUCCGCCGUGAGCAAAGCCGAGGGCAGACGUCCCUCCCGCAGGUGUCCUCAUCUGCAAGGACAACACCCAACCGUGCGCCCUGAGAGACGGGGGUGGGUAACAGUCGCCGGUCCCGGAACGAGUUGCCGCCUUCCCAACACGGGGCCAGCGAUGCGCACCGCGAAUCGGGGACGGGGACGCUGGGCCGCAGCCUGCACUGUGAGUUCCCGCUCCAGGGGGACAACCCACCCACUGGCCGGCCCCGUGGGCAGGGGAGGGUGUAGGGCCAAGGGCAUCCCCUCCACGCUCUCGCCCAUCUCCAGGGCCCGUGUGCGCUUCGUGUAUGCAGAGCUCGGACACACUUUUACCUCCUCGCCAGCGCCUGCCAGGAAACCGCCUUCGCCUGGCCCGCACGUGGCACCGAGGGCACGUGGCCGCACGAGGCGGCGGCAGGCCCGGGGGUGAGGCGGCCCAGCGCCCCGUCCCGGGAGCCGUGUCUUCCUGCACCUCAACCCUGAUUCAGGGCCCGGGGGCUCGGGGCGCAGACGAUCCCAAGCGGGGAUCCCAAGCGGGCCCACAGACACACAGAGCCAGGAUGUGACAAGAAGGCAGGCCGAGUCCUCAAGACCCCUCAGGAGGAGGGUGCUGGGGCGCCCGAGCGGUAGACGGACAGCGGGCUGGACAGGGGGUCAGGCCAGGCUGGGCCGCAGAGGCCGGCCCACCUCAGACACACGCGGGGCCUCGUCUCUGUGAGGGUCCCGGCUCGUGGCAGAAACCUGGCUUUGCCGACUGUCCUGGGCCCCCCACGUCCCGGUGUGCUAACUCAUUUAGCCCUCCAAGACCCCGAGGGGCAAUGCUGUAAUUACUGCCAAUUUACAGGAGGAGACGGAGUCCUGGGGGCUAAGCAGCCGGCCUGACACCCCCAAUGUCAAGGCUUCAGGCUCUCCCCUCCACUCGGGACCAGGGACUCAGGAUGUAAGUCUCCGUGGUUCUUUUAGCAGCCACGCUUGUCCUGUGUUUUGUCCACCGGCCCACGGCCGGCUCGGCUGAAGCCUGGGCAGGUAGGGGGCCAGGGUGAGUGGGGAAGGCACCGCAGAGAGCGGAGGCAGCAGCCCAUGCAGGCCGGAGGAGGACGCUGCCUGUCUGCCAGCGGGGGCCACGGCACAGAGCGAGUGCACCGAGGGCACCGCAGGCAGGAGCCAAACCACACACCGGCCCUCCCAGUGGCAGCAGCUGGGGAGGACCGUGGUUUUGUCAGCUUAAGGAAGACAGGAGGUCGGGGCGGGGAGGGGGCGGGUGGCCAGCCAGGCCUGUCGCUCGUCCGGUAGCUCAGAAAUUCCCCCUCGAGGCUGGGGGAGUUCACAGGGAAGGCUAUCUUGCUAACUUAGGGCUCUCGGAGGAAGAGACCGCCAAGGCCCAAGCUCACGGACGCGGGAGGCAGGAUGCCCCCAAAGCGUAUGACAGAAACGGGUACUGCUCCCCGGGAGCUCACUCUCGCCUAAGGAGGGGGGGCCCAGAUUCCACUGACGAGAACGUCGCCCCACGACACCGUCCACAGGAGGGGCCCUUUCUGGGGGCAGUGCCCACCCACCGGUCACGUCAUCCCCAGACAUCCUUCCAAUAGCUGUGGGAAGCUCUGUAAACCUACUCACGACAGGAAGCCGGGGGGCGGGGGAGGCCUGGGGCUGCACACGGGGACUCGGAACCUGGAGACCCUGCUGGGGUCGCACACAGGGGCGCUCGGGGCCGAGGGAGGCACGCCCGGCCCUGCCGUAGCCCAGGGCUCCUCUGCUCGCCUGUGCACCGGGGGCUGGAGGCCUUUCUUCCCUACCGGCCACGCACGCUCGUCAGGGACAGGGGGCUGGUGGCCACGGGGAUCUAAUGACAAGGCACCUCGUCACCCUGGGAGCCCAGAGGAGAACGCAGGCCUGAGACUGGCAGUGGCCCAGCCCCCUCUUCCGGGCCCCAGGUCUCCCAUCUCUAGGGGAGGUCAGCCCCUUUCAGUGGUCCUCAAACCUCUGGGAGACUCCCCCACUCCAAAGCAGCUCCUCAGACCCCAGGCUCUGGGAACAGAGGCCCCAGGCCGGUUCCUUGUCAGCUGCUCGCCAGCAACAACACUGCCGUGGGGGCCACACGUUGUGAGAGACCUUCAAACAAAACACUCUCCAGCCCCAGCCUUGCUGGCGCGGGGCUCCUGGAGGUGUCCUUCGCCUCUGUGGAGCCUCUGUGGGUUUCGCACGGAGCUCACGUGGCCCUUGGAUGCCAUCAGUGACCCCAGCGGGCAGGGCGCUGCAGAGAAAGUCCCCCAGCUGCAUAAGGGACGCAGACACCUGGCAGAGGGCUCCGCAUGUCACGUCUCCCGCCGGUGCUGGCUCAGGGAAGCCACGCGUCCAAACUCGUGUCUCAGCUCUUACUUCCUUGAGGCAGGCCCCCUCCUUCAGGAGUUUGGGGACCCCCAGGCCACUUCCUGACUCUCCGUGCUGACCCCAUCCUCCCUCCAAAACUCGCACCUGCCUCGUGCCCAGCCUUGCCAGGCCACGGGUGACCAGCGCCCUUCAGGCGACAGCGCCCUGACUCUGCCUAACCCCGAGGGAGGCUCUAGGCACAGGCCCGCAGGGCAAUAAGGGAUCAGUCUGCCUCUGUGUUCAGGACUCCGGCUGCCUGAUGCCCACACCCCGUUGUCGGGGGGCAGAGGGCAGAGGGCAGAGCCCCAAGCCCCGGCCUGGGUGGUGCCAACGCGGGCCCUGGGGCCGAGCGCUCUCAAGGGAAGGUUUCGGGGACUUUCCCUUGGCUAGACAGGUUGUGAGCGCUUCUUCUGUAUUACGGGUGGGGUUUUAGGUCCUAUUUCAAGCUGCAGACGCUGCCCGCUUUCUGGGAGGGACUGUUUAGCGUGUGGAAUCCGCUGGGUGCCCACAGUCGCUGGGAGGCACACGCGUUACUUGUUCCGGCCGCCACACCGGUGACUCUGUACGUAGGCCGACUUGAACCUGUCUGGGUCACGCGGCCAAAGCAUAUGCUGUUCCCAGUGCAGCCUGUGUGGCUGGAACGACCUAAGACUGAAUUCCUGUCCUCCUUACAGAACUGGAGGUCUCUGCCCGGCCGCUGCCAGCAAGGGAGCUCGUGGGGAGGGGAGGACCGGAGACGGACAGGAGCCGCCUGCACAGCUCACAGGCCCUGGCACAGUCAGCCGCCAACCCUCUGGGCUUCCUUUUCUUUCCCCGCCUCCGUCUGCUUCCCCACCACCCGCUCAGCCGCCGGCCGGGGGACGGGCGAUUUCACGGUUGAGCGACGUUUCACUCUGAAAACUCAGGUUUCUUUAUACUGUAGAUUGGCUCCAGUAAAAAGUAAAACAGAGUUCAUUUUCCUAGACUUUCAGCCUGGAAGUGACUGAACAGACCGCUCAGGGCUUCCUCGUUCAAAAAAAGAUGAUCACUGGCUCCAGCGCUGUGUCCUGAAGACAGAACCGGAAAGGCUUGUCCAUGGGCAGCACACACAUCUGGAUGCAGACUGAAGCCGCCAGAGGCGUGGCUAGCGCGGGGGCACGAACACGGAGAAGGUUCGGUCUGGCAGAGCACAGUGUAUGCACCUUCCAGCAGCCACAUCUGGCACGUGCCACAGGCGACACUCCGGACAGUUCAGGAAUUUGCGUCUUCAGGCGACCAGGAUGGGGACGAGGGGGCUGCCCGGCAGCAGGUCCCCACAGAAGGAUGUGGGCCAGCAGCCACACUGCCCCUCAUGUUCCCGUCCCAGCCCACGGGUCCACGAAAGCUCACGCCCUCCACGCCACGCCUCCGUCAAGCGGGCCGGGCUGGACGGCGGCGCAGGGCCUGGCCACGGAUGGGCUGCACGGUGACUCAUCGGGCCCCAGGGCUCCCAGUCUGCAGGGAGCACAGGAGACUGGGAUGGAAACAUUUAUGCAGCCAAGACCAGAAGGCGCUAAAGAAGCCAAGUCCUGCCAGAGGGAGCGCGGGAGCCAGGGAGGGAGGAGCUGGCCAAGAGGGAGAAGGGCUUGGCGCCUCGGGACACCGCGGGAAGGAAUCCUCCCGAGGGCCCGGGCGGGGCAAGAGGCCGUCGACGUGCUCCAUCCUGUAACUCAACGUCUGCCCACCUUCCUGCCAUCAGAUCGACACAGAGCGUGUAACGCGGCCACCACACGCUCACACACCUGCCAAGCCACGAGCUGGUGGAGACGCCACGGCGCCCGGAGACGGUGGCGCCCCGAGUGACAAGUGUCCGAAGGUUCACCUGUGGGACCCACGGGGCUGCAGGCACGGCGACACGGGGCAUCGAGGGGGUGGUGUAUGCCCGCUGGCCAGCCGGGCUGAGAGCACAGAGGAAUCACCCGGGACGCUGCCUCCAGGGGACACGCUUACGCGCACACGUGCACACACCUCCCCCCAGGAGACGCAGCGCACCCCCAUCUGACCUCAAAGGCUCGUGCUCUUUCCACACAGAGAAGCAGCUUAUGACCUUCCCAGAUCACCUGUGAGACGGGCACAGGACUGGAAAGGACCCAGCAAAACACAAACACGAGAGCGAAAACCCAGAGACCAGGCAGAGGUCCGCAGCGGGCUCACAGCCCUGGAGCCACUGCUCAUCCGGGGGGAUGACGAGGACCACGCAGAAGCGGGGACCCGAGUGCGCCCAGCGCAGCCCCCAGGGAUGGGAGGGAGACUCAACCACGGCACGCGGGUCCCUAACGAUGCAGCCAGGGGGGCGGAGGCGGCCGCAGGGGGACGGCCCGGGGAAGCACAGGCUGCACCACCGGCCAGAGCCCCGCUCCGGGAGGACGAGGGAGCCCCGCGCACCAACCCUCCUCCCAUCCUGGAAGACUUUCCGAGGAGCUACAGCCACGAGCUUCUGUAAAGGACACAAAAUUCUCAAGGCUCUGGCCUUGGCCAGCUCCCCGGGGACCCUGGAGCUGGACCUUGGCAGCCCUUCCUCGUGGCUCAGAAAAGGGCCCCAGAAGCUCUGGUUCUCAGCCCAAAACUGGCACUGGAACAAAGCACGGGCGGUCCUGGAGGGUCGGCUCGUCCCCAGGGAAUUCGGUCUCAGGUGAGAUCUGGGCUUUAGCACAGGGGUGGGAAGUGCAGGUUCUGGCAGGGAAGCCAAACAGCACGGCCUCGCGGACCGACGCGGGCGGCCUCACGGCAGGUUAGAAACAGUCCGAGCUCAUCGACAGGUGCGCGGCGCAGGAAGACACGGCGCACGCGCACAGCGGGACGGCAUCCACCCGUGACGUGGAUCGGCACACGGACCGGCCACGCGCCACGCUCAGCGAGGCAAAUCAGAGGACAAGCCCUGCGUGACUCACACACACGUGGAAGCUAGGGAGGUUAAACCUACUGUAAAAAAAUGGCAGGGACCUGGGUGGCUCAGAGUGCUGGUGUGGGCUCAGGUCACGGUCUCAGGGCUUGUGGUGGAGCCCAGGGUUGGGCGGAGCCUGCGUGGGAUUCUCUCUCCCUCUUCCUGCCCCUCCCCUGCUCACACGCUUCUCCGUCUUUUGAAAUAAACUUUUUGAAAGAAAAAGACCAGGGAGACGGUGGUUAUGGAGGGAGGGGGGUGGGAGUAAAACGAACGACGUGUAAGGACACACACGUGAACGGGAGGCGACAAAGGCGACAGAGACCCAGCGUACAGCUGACGACCGCAGACAGGAUGACGGGAGGCCUCGCCAACACCACCACGGCGGGACUCUCCUCACAGGAACACACCAUACGCCUCGUCUUUGCAACGCGUAACGUCACAUUUAUCAGACGGAAAAUUUAACAACAAACAAGAAAACCUCGCGUUCCCGCUUAUAAGUAUCCACCCAAGGGGAAAAACUACUACGCUUGCCUGUAAAAAUGUACGUUCGUGUAUAAAAACCGUAAAGCAGCUGUGACAGCCAAAUCCUGGAAUUAACCCUGCUUUGUGUGCUGCUGGGACACACUGGGGCCUUCCUUUCCUUGAAUGUCCCCCUGCCUGGGAAGGGGCUGUCCUGGAGCCUGGCGAGCAGGCGGGUGGUCUACGGACACGAGCAAGCAUGGAGGCCGGCACACGGCCCCGCCCCGCGGACGACACGGUGAGGCUGGAGCCCCCUCGGCCCCAAGGAAGGCCCCCUGCUUCUGGAGAAAAGCGCAGGGCGAGGCGAGAAGCAGUCGACAGGCUGACGAGCCUGGGACGAGCUCUCAAGGCCUCCGUCCUCCUGGCUGGGUGACCCAGAGCCCGGCCACCAAAUCAGAUGACCGAGUGCACUGGCACAAGCCAGGGGGCCUCUGACAACGAAUGCCCCCGAAACCACCGGCAAAGACGAUACGCUUCGCCCCAGGAAGUGCCCGGAACACUGGUCAGCUGUAGGGAUCGGACACGGGGACAGCCUAAUGCGUUUCCUGACCUGUGGUCAAUGUUCACAGGAUCUGCUUUCCAAUUUGCCUUAAUUAAAGAUUAACAUGCCGAAUCAC